GAACGAGAAAGUGGAGCAAUCCAUGAGUAAAGUGGCGUACGGGUGAGUAACACGUGGAUGAUCUACCUUCUAGUGGGGAAUACCGUUGGGAAACCGACGACAAUACCGCAUAAGCUCGAGAGAGGAAAGCAGCAAUGCGCUGGAAGAGGAGUCCGCGGUCGAUUAGUUAGUUGGCGGGGUAAAGGCCCACCAAGACUGUGAUCGAUAGCCGGCCUGAGAGGGCACACGGCCACACUGGCACUGAAACACGGGCCAGACUCCUACGGGAGGCAGCAGUGGGGAAUCUUGCACAAUGGGGGAAACCCUGAUGCAGCGACGCCGCGUGAGCGAUGAAGCCCCUCGGGGUGUAAAGCUCUUUCGGCAGGGAAGAUAAUGACGGUACCUGCAAAAGCAGCUGCGGCUAACUACGUGCCAGCAGCCGCGGUAAUACGUAGGCAGCAAGCGUUGUUCGGAGUUACUGGGCGUAAAGGGUGCGUAGGCGGCUUUUUAAGUUUGGUGCGAAAUCUCCCGGCUCAACUGGGAGGGUGCGCCGAAUACUGAGAGGCUAGAGUGUGGGAGAGGAAAGUGGAAUUCCUGGUGUAGCGGUGAAAUGCGUAGAUAUCAGGAGGAACACCGGUGGUGUAAACGGCUUUCUGGACCAUAACUGACGCUGAGGCACGAAAGCGUGGGUAGCAAACAGGAUUAGAUACCCUGGUAGUCCACGCCCUAAACGAUGCAUAUUUGGUGUGGGCCAUUCAUUUGGUCUGUGCCGGAGCUAACGCGUUAAAUAUGCCGCCUGGGGAGUACAGUCGCAAGGCUGAAACUCAAAGGAAUUGACGGGGGCCCGCACAAGCGGUGGAGCAUGUGGUUUAAUUCGACGCAACGCGAAGAACC
rnacentral:rRNA from 1 species